rnacentral:snRNA from 1 species
GUGCUCGCUUCGCAGCACAUAUACCAAAAUUGGAACUAUACAGAGAAGAUUAGCAUGGCCCCUGCGCAAGGAUGACAUACAAAUUUGUGAAGUGUUCCAUAUUUUU